UGUUGAAUGUUCACUAUGGAU
rnacentral:piRNA from 1 species